rnacentral:tRNA from 1 species
GCGGCAGUAGCUCAGUGGUAGAGCCCCGCUUCGCAUGCGGGGAGACCUGGGUUUGAUUCCCGGCUGCUCCC